UAAUGUGAUUUUGAUAUUAGCUGGGGCAACUUGGUUAGUGUCAGAGUCAACACACAACAUUGAUCGGUGCAGCGUUACAAACUUUAGUGUUUAGUAAUAUCAAUGAUGCAUUGGUAGCAAUAUUAAUGUAUCUCCUUUAGCCUAGAAUGCAAGUCCCAUUGACUUGGGCUUAUCUUCCAAUUGAGAUGACUAUAGUGCUGGGGCAACUUGGUACUAUGGUUGAGCCAUAGAGGGUGAAAGUCCCUUAACGUUCAGGUAUUGAUAUUACGAACUAGAGAGCCAGCAAUGGCAUUUUGUUAGAGUCGGGUUGCUUGAGAGUGCAACCUAAAGAGCGAGGUAAACUGCUCGUAAGGCUAUUAGAGAAAUAUCGCUAUGACACCGAUAGCAAACAAGUACCGUGAGGGAAAGUUGCAAAGUAUUUYGAAGAGAGAGUUAAACAGGGCGUGAAACCGCUAGCUGGUAAACGAGUGGAGCCACGAAGUCGUUUCGUAGAAUAAAGAAUACAAAUUCAAUUAGGGUCUCGGCCCUGGUGCACUUUUGUUUAUUCUUCUAUGUAUGCGUACACUGCAACCAAUUAGACAAUCAAUUGUGGAAACAAUUGCUUGGUAUAGGAAGAAAUUUUUGUACUAGGUAAUGAAAUAUCAUAUACUAGCUGUAGGUAGCUUGGUCUAAUCCUCGUGGUUAUACUGAGUGUAUGACAUGUUAGUAUGAGAACUACAAUUGAAUACUGAUUGGCACAAUGAAAAUCCAAAAAUUUGGUACCAGAUAACACUGGCAGUGUUGUAUAUAUGUACAAAUAUUUAUUAUUAGCGUAAGCUUAGUAGUUUUAAAUUUAGACUGGCAGGCUAUCUUGGAUUUCGGUUCUUGAUGCCUGUUUAGCUUUCUAUCUAAUUGGCUAUUAACUUUGCUAGUAAUCUUGUGUUUGCUAUGAUAGCAUGUAUGCAACAAUUGUUUAGUUAUUAUAUUGGCAGUGAGUAGGUCGGCUUUCCACACGACCC
rnacentral:rRNA from 1 species